UCCUGGUUUCCCAGGCAGUCUCAUCAGAGUGCGCUGCAAGCAGCUAGCAACUGAUGACAGGGGUUGCGCUCGUUAGAGGACUUAACCCAACAUCUCACGACACGAGCUGACGACAGCCAUGCAGCACCUGUGCAUCUGUCCGACCCGAAGGCCGAAAAACUGUAUUUCUACAGUGGUCAAAAGCAUGUCAAGCCUAGGUAAGGUUCCUCGCGUAGUGACGAAUUAAACCACAUGUUCCACCGCUUGUGCGGGCCCCCGUCAAUUUCUUUGAGUUUUAAUCUUGCGAUCGUAGUCCCCAGGCGGAUCACUUAGCGCGUUAGCUACGACACCAACCCUGUAAAACAGAGCUGACGUCCAGUGAUCAUCGUUUACGGCGUGGACUAC
rnacentral:misc_RNA from 1 species